ACCAGGAUGGCCGAGUGGUUAAGGCGUUGGACUUAAGGUCCAAUGGGUUAAUAUCCUCGUGGGUUCGAGCCCCACUCCUGGUA